rnacentral:rRNA from 1 species
GAUGAACGCUAGCGGCAGGCUUAAUACAUGCAAGUCGAGGGGCAGCACGGUUAGCAAUAACUGGUGGCGACCGGCGCACGGGUGCGUAACACGUAUACAAUCUACCUUAAACAGGGGAUAGCCUUUCGAAAGAGAGAUUAAUACCCCGUAAUAAAUUGAACGGCAUCGUUUGAUUUUGAAAGCUCCGGCGGUUUGAGAUGAGUAUGCGUCUGAUUAGCUAGUUGGUGAGGUAACGGCUCACCAAGGCGACGAUCAGUAGGGGAUCUGAGAGGACUAACCCCCACACUGGUACUGAGACACGGACCAGACUCCUACGGGAGGCAGCAGUAAGGAAUAUUGGCAAUGGAGGCAACUCUGAACCAGCCAUGCCGCGUGCAGGAUGACGGCCCUAUGGGUUGUAAACUGUCUUUUAUAC